rnacentral:piRNA from 1 species
UGCUGCUGUCUGUGCUGCUGCUUCAA